UACGUAGGGCGCAAGCGUUGUCCGGCAUUCUUGGGCGUAAAGGGCUCGUAGGCGGUCUGUCACGUCGGGAGUGAAAACUCAGGGCUUAACCCUGAGCCUGCUUCCGAUACGGGCAGACUAGAGGUAUGCAGGGGAGAACGGAAUUCCUGGUGUAGCGGUGAAAUGCGCAGAUAUCAGGAGGAACACCGGUGGCGAAGGCGGUUCUCUGGGCAUUACCUGACGCUGAGGAGCGAAAGUGUGGGGAGCGAACAGG
rnacentral:rRNA from 1 species